ensembl:lncRNA
CAAAUUCUAAGCUUGAGUGGUAAGACUGAUAAAGUUUAGCUCUUAAGAUAUAGACUGAGUGCUUUGCCUGCCAUUGAGGAAAAAAGGUAUUGAAAAAAGCAUCGCUACCCUUGUUCAAAGAGCAUGAGUGCCUGAGUGGCGUUGUGUGAAAAGAAGCUGAUAAAACGUCAAUGGUGAUGCUCUGGAGGAAAGCCGCAAGGCCUGAAGGUAUCUUGGCCUUGGUUCUCUGAAAAAUGAAGACUUUGGAACUGGCCCUGGCCACCACCGUUCUACUUUCUGUCUCUGUGAAUUGAUGGAACCCUUGAUUGGUGGACAUUGCAUGGGACGUCCAAUAUAAAGUUCAGUAUAAAGACGGCAUUGUUCAACCUCCUGUACCAUUAAGCAUCAUCAUGUUACUAAGAGCUGGCCAACUGCAUAUGAUAGGAGAAGCCAGGUACCAUCUGGGAAGUAUGAGCACCGUGAGACCGCCAUGCUGUGAGAAGCCUAAGCUAUGUGGAGACGGGGGUCGAGCAGCACUGUCGUGCCAAGCAUGUGAAUACAGAUGCCAUCUUGGAAGAUGCCCAGUGGAAGCUCCAGCUUCCCUAGAGGAUGCCAUGUAGAUCCGAGACAAAUUGCCCGGCACAAUAAAAAGAUUGUUUUAAGUCACUACGUGUUUUGGGGGGAAGGGUAGUUUUGCACCGUGGCAGAUAAUCAGAACAGCAUACAGAAGCACGUGCUAAAUAAAUACCCAACUGUGGGGCUGACCCUGAUUCAGGUUUAGCAGUGAGCACUCAGUGACACUUUGUAAGUCCUCCAAAGAUGAUACCCUGGAUGAAAGAUAUCAUACAUCGAUAAAGAAGCACAUGCAUUACUUUUAUCACAGUUUUGUAUUCUUACUAUUUUGCUAACAGUAUUAGGAUUUAGUUGGUUUCCUUUGUAAUACUGUGCAUUUUCUUUUAUAUAAUUAAAUCUUAUGCUAAGAUAAAGUCCAUACAAUUCCAACUAACUUCCAAAAGAAUAUGUGACCAAAAAAAGGAAUAAGGAAAAUAAUUAAGAAUCCCUGUUGGAUUACUAAUUAUUAUAGAAAUAUAAGUCAAAACUACGAUGAGAUCCCACUCACACCAGUCAGAAGGCCAUCAUUAAAAUGUUUAUGAAUAACAAAUGCCGGAGAGUGUAUGGAGAAAAGGACACCCUCCCACACUGUUGGUGGGAAUGUAAAUUGGUGCCGUGAUUAUGGAGAACAAUAUGGAGCUUCCUUAAAAAACAAAUAGAGUUACCAUAUGAUCCAGCAGUACCAUUCCUAGAGCAUAUUUUUGGACAAAACUAUAAUUUAAAAUGAUACAUGCAUUCCUAUGUUCAUAGCAGGACUAUUUAUAAUAGCCAAAAAUAUGCAAACACCCUAAAUGUCCAUCAACAGAUGAAUGGAUAAAGAAGAUGUAGUGUGUUUGUGUGUGUGUGUGUAAACAAUGGAAUAUUACUCAGUCAUAAAAAAGAAUGAAAUAAUGCCAUUUUCAGCCACAUGGAUGGACCUUGAGAUUAUCAUACGAAGUGAAGUCAGAAAGAGAAAGACAAAUACCACAUGAUAUCACUUAUGUGUGAAUCUAGAAUAUGACACAAAUGAACUUAUCUACAAAAGAGAAACAGACUCACAGACAUAGAAGACAAACUUGCAGUUGCCAAGGAGGGGGGAUUUAGGAGAGGGUUAGAAUGGGAAACCAUUAUAUAUAGGAUGAAUGAACAAUAAUGUCCUUUUGUAAGUACAUGAAGCAAAGUCCCCUUCCUACCCACCUCCACAGACUUAUGGUGAAACUGUGAUAGGAGCUUAAGAUAAACUUUUAUCAUGUUAAGCCACUGAG